UCGAUUGAGGCGCGGCGUACAUCAGUAACGCGUUGGAAGGAGAUGCGACUCCGUUUGAACCGCCCGCGAAAGGGUCCGCCGCCGAAGAUAACCGUCCGCUCGCACCGGCGUUGUCUGGACGGAAACGAGAACAUCGUUCCGGCUGUCAUCAUGCAUUCUGCUGGUGUUGCGCUAUCG
rnacentral:ncRNA from 1 species